rnacentral:lncRNA from 1 species
GUCCAGCCUUCCCAAACCCUGCAGGAAAACUGCAAUUCCAGGAUUCCUGGUGUUCCAAGCAAGUCUCCUUUGCCCCUCUGGAUGUGACUUGGGAAGCCUGACUGUGGUUUUUAAUCUAAAUUAAAUCUAAAUCAGAGAUUUGCUCCCUGUGGGAUGUCUUUGCUCCAGUCUCGGGAAGACCAAAAAUUUCAUUCCUUGCCCAAUCGAGUCAAAUUCUGAGAGACCAAACAAUUAAAUUUAAUAAUUCUUAACAUGUUCCCUGCUUUUUCUGCCUGUUGGUGUCAGGUAGGGGCACAGCUGCGAUGCCAGGGAGCUGCUCAGCCUCUUCCAUCCCUGCUUUUCCUGCUUUUCCUGGCAUUCCCAGCCUGGCCUUUGCCGCUCUUUUGGAGUCGCCGCGCGGAGAGCUAAGAAUAGAAACCUCCUCAAAAUGCAAUUCAGCAUCUUACCUUCCUGCCUGCGAAUCUUUCAGUGAUGAACUUAACAAAAAAAAAAACCCUCCCCGGGGCUCGGGGUGGUGUGGGAAGAAGGAAAGGGGGGGGUGGGAAGAAGGAAGGGGGCGUGGAAAACUCGCCGGGAAUUUCCCGGCGCCCGAAAUAUCAGUUUGUUCUGGUGGCCCCGGGGCUGCGAAAUCGCUGCUCCCCGAGCACCCAAAGCGGGCUGGGACGGGGAUGGCACGGCCAGGGGGGAAUUUUCCCGCUGUUUUCUUCCUCCUGCUGGUUGCUGUUCCCGAUUCCCGGGGGUUGGAAUGCAGGGAACACCAAUAUCCGUACCGGGAUAAAUGCUGCAGCGACUGUGCCCCGGGGGAGAGGAUGAGGAACCGCUGCACGGCCAUGGCAGACACGGAGUGUAUCCCCUGCCAGGAUGAAUAUUUCAGCAGUGAGCACCACCACAGCUUCUGCAACAGCUGCACAGUCUGCAACACCAAGAGAGGGAGCGUGGAGGUGAAGAAGUGUGAGAAGACCUCGGACAGGGUGUGCGUGUGCCGGGCAGGGUUCAUGCCAGCUGGGCUGCCCCUGGGAAGUGGUGAGUCAGGGAUCAGAGAAUCAUAGAAUCAGCUGGGUUGGAAGGGACCUCUGAGAUCAU